rnacentral:lncRNA from 1 species
UGAGCCACUCCCUGGAUUGGAAGCUCUCUGGGGACAAGGUUUAUCUGCACCAUUCCCUCCACCACCUCAGCACACGCCACAAAUCUCUGUAUUUAGUGGUUUCUUAAAACACCGGGUUGGCCAGUUGCCGUGGUACUUGCCUGUAACCCCAGCUACUCAGGAAGCUGAGGCAGGAGGAUGGCAAGUUUGAGAACACUCUGGGCAACCUAGCAAGACCUUGUCUCAAAAUACAUGUUUUUUUAAAAAAAAGGCGGAACUGUAGCUUUGUGGCUGGGGACCAAGAGCAGGGCUGCUGGGGACUCUGCAAGCCCAGGUCCUACUGUGACAUGGACACUGGCCCAAGUGUCUGAAGACUGCAGGACCCCAUGGCUUCAUCGGACUUUGUUCAGACUGACAACCAGACGCACUACUGGACCAAGAUGUUUUGUGCACGACAGCACUGGUGCUUGGGCUGCCACGGACGCUGCCCUGUGCAUGGCAGGCAAUGUCAGUGGCAUCCUCGGCCACCGCCCACUGUGGGCCACCAGCACUGACCUUCCGCUCCCUCCCCCAAAACCUGACUGUGAAGUGUCUCUGAAGGCCCCUGGGAGAGGGGAAAAUGACUCCCAGGUGAGAACCACUACUUUAAAUAAACAGCUGAAAAGACGCUUGAAGUUUGAGGG